GUGAAGGUGAACUGGUGGUAUGCAUGCAGUACCUGCAAGUUCAUUCUCUGAUGGAUAGUCAGCCAUGUCUUCCCAGAGCAAUUACCAGGUUACAUAGCAACAAAAAAAGGAUUUCUAGCCCCAGAGGCUUAGUUCCAAAGCAGUUCAAAAGUCCCAGCUGGCCUUUUCUCAGCUGUUCCUUCUUCAGGAUGAAAGGUCUGUUCUCCCUAAAAACAGUGCUUAAAGGUGGAAUGUUUGGCAGAGCAGUCUCAGGACAAAGGAAGAGCAUAGCAGAGGUUAUUUCUUUAGAAGAGACCAGAAAUAACACUGAGAUGAACACAUUUUCCAGAGUUCUCUUGUGAACGUACCAUUCAGUUAAGGAAUGCUGAGAAAACAUUACUUCAAAGUGCUUUCAAAAAUAUGAAGUUAGACUGUGUAUACAACCAGAGAUAUGAAAUUGUGCUCUAUAUAUGUAAUAAGAAUUGUAAUGYAUUCCGC
ensembl:lncRNA